UUGGGGCGGGGGCGGGGCCGGACCCUGGCCAGUAGAGGCCACGCCCCCCAGCCCGGAAGUGUCGCGUCAGGACCCCCAGCGUCCGAACUAGCGUCAGCGACAUGGAGUCACCGGUGCUGAGGAGCCCGGAAGAGAUAGCAGCGCUGUACCGCGAGCUCAGCCAGUGCCCCUCGCUUUGCAGUGCCUGCAUCGGGCCCGAGGUCACCACUCAGUACGGGGGCAAAUACUGCAAUGUCUAUACAGAGUGGUCUCAGCAGGACCUGGAGAGAGCUGAGAGCGUGAAGUUCUGCCGCCAAUACCUCAUCUUCCAUGACAGCCAGGCCAUCGUGUACUCUGGCCCCUCGGGCACCUGCAGUGAGAUCAAGGGAGAGCUGCUGAGCAGAGAGUCUCCCAGUGGGGCACUUAAAGCCGUUUUGCGGAAAGCCAGCCCUGGCAAAGGCGAGGAGAAGCAGUUCCUUGAGAUCUGGGAUCAGAAUCGCAAGGUGAAGAGCAUUAACCUGACAGUGCUGGACAAGCAUGGCAAUGUCUAUGAAGAUGAUCAGUUUGGCUGCUUGUCCUGGUCGCACUCGGAGACUCACCUGCUUUACGUGGCCGAGAGGAAACGGCCCAAGGCCGAGUCCUUCUUCCAGAGCAGAGACCUGGAGCUGAGCAGCGGCUGUGCUGAUGAGAGACGCGACAAGGCUGUCAAGGGGGAGCAGUUCGUGUACCACGACGACUGGGGCGAGGCGCUGGUGGGCAAGAGCAUCCCGGCCCUAUGUGUGCUGGACAUGGAGAGUGGCAAUGUCUCGGUGCUGGAGGGUGUCCCGGAGCACAUUUCCCCUGGGCAGGCUUUCUGGUCCCCUGGUGACACAGGUGUGGUGUUCAUAGGCUGGUGGCAUGAGCCCUUCCGCCUGGGCCUGCGGCACUGCACUAACCGCAGGUCAGCGCUGUUCUAUGUGGACUUGACGGGAGCAAGGUGUGAGCUGCUGUCAGAUGACACCAAAGCCGUGUGGUCCCCACGCCUGAGCCCUGACCAGUGCCGCAUCGUGUAUCUGGAGAGCGGCGUACUCGGGCCCCACCACCAGUGCAGCCGCCUCCGCAUGUAUGACUGGUACACGAAGGUCACCUCCACCGUGCUGGAUGUCGUGCCCCGGCACAGCCAGGGAACGUUCACAGGGAUCUAUUGCCCGGCACUGCCGGGCCUGUGCUGGGCAGCCGAUAGCCAGAGGGUCAUCCUGGACACCGCUCAGCGCAGCCAACAGGAGUUGCUUGUGGUGGAGAUGCUGGGUGGCAACGUGACCUCUCUAACGACGGGUGCCCCCCUGGGCAGCUGGUCUCUCCUCACCAUUGACCGGGAUCUCCUGGUGGCCAGGUUCUCAACCCCCAGCUGCCCCCCUACAUUGAAGGUGGCCUUCCUCCCCAGGGCUGGGCAGGAGGCCCAGGUGCACUGGGUGUGUCUGGAGGACGUGACCCCCAUCCCGGAGAUCAGCUGGGCGAUCCGGCCCCUGCAGCCGCCCCCCGACCAGGAGAACCCGAAGUACAAGGGUAUCGAUUUCGAAGCCAUCCUGCUACAGCCCAGCAAGGGGCUAGGGCCGAAGAAGCUGCCCCUAGUGGUCAUGCCCCAUGGAGGCCCACACUCUGUCUUCACGGCCAGCUGGAUGCUGUACCCUGCAGCGCUCUGCAGGAUCGGCUUCGCUGUGCUCCUGGUGAAUUACCGUGGUUCGUUGGGCUUUGGCCAGGAUAGCAUCGCCUCCCUACCUGGCCACGUAGGCUGCCAGGAUGUCAAAGACGUGCAGUACUGCGUGGAGCAGAUGCUGCAGGAGGAGCCCCUAGACUCAGCGCGGGUGGCACUAGUGGGUGGCUCACAUGGGGGCUUCCUUGCUUGCCACCUCAUCGGCCAGUACCCGGACACUUACCAGGCCUGUGUGGCAAGGAACCCAGUCGUCAACAUGGCCUCCAUGAUCAGCGGCACCGACAUCCCGGACUGGUGUCUGACUGAGGCUGGCUUCCCCUAUGCACCCAACAUCCUCCCAGAUGCUUCCCACUGGGCAGAGAUGCUCCAUAAGUCACCCAUGCAGUACGUCGCCCAGUGCUGGCUGUGGGACCUAGGUCUCUGCACUGCUCUCCCUACAGGUUCGGGCACCUGUGCUCCUGAUGCUGGGAGAAGAGGAUAGGCGUGUUCCCCCCAAGCAGGGGCUGGAGUACUACCGUGCUCUCAAGGGCAGGGGCAUUCCUACCCGGCUGCUACUGUACCCCAGGAACAGCCAUGCACUCUCUGGCGUCGAGGCUGAGGCCGACGGCUUUAUGAACAUGGCGCUCUGGCUGCUCCAGCACCUGCAGUGCUGAUAGGUGCUGUGCUCCGCAUCUCCCUGAGCCCUGUAACUUGUUUCCAAUAAACCCACGGCUCAUCUUU